AGUCGUCGGUUCAACCCCCACCGAUCACGUUCGAGUGGUAUUCGGGUGUGGCGACUCAGAGAGCGAAUAUCGCACAAAUUAUAAAAGUAGCUGAACCGACUGGACUGUCUCUGUGCCUGAAAAAUCUGAAGACGGCUAGGCGCAUGUGAGCCGGCACAUGACGUUACGUGGAGUAAUUACCCACUGCCCGAGGGUAGGCGAAGGUAGGCACAGGCUGGUGGCAUACGAGGCUCUAAGGGCCCGGGACGGUUCCCUUCAAAGGGGGGGGAAUGUAGCAGCCGGUACACAGUACGGCGCUAUAAAUACGCGCAGAGCGCGACCGCCAGCAACUCGAGAGACCUUUUCAGCGGUCAGCUGCUACACUU
rnacentral:lncRNA from 1 species